rnacentral:lncRNA from 1 species
UUAGGACACAUCGUCCCUGAGAGGGGAUUAUGACAAGGGUGUCCACUUUCGCCUUAUUUGUUUCUUAUGUGUGCUAAGGAUUUCUCAGGCACUUUGAAGGGGGUGGCUUGCCAUGAGAAGUAUCUUGGUUUGGCGACUGUAACGACCCGUUCAUAAUUUUACAAUUUUUAUAAUUUUAAUAAGUGAAUUUACGAAAAUGCCCUUCGAGGCAAAUGCGUUGAUUUUGUUUGACUGCCUUGUCAUGUCAUGUAAGAUCUAUUUUCUUGGCAUAUCCUCAUAGUAUUCAUCGCUACGAACGCGUUGGCA